rnacentral:tRNA from 1 species
GCGGCCGUGGCGGAAUUGGCAGACGCGCAAGACUAAGGAUCUUGUGCCCGAUUAAGGGCGUGGAGGUUCGAUUCCUCUCGGCCGCA